GGCAAAUGUAUCAUGGUGUUUACAACUAAUUGAUCAAAACCAGUCACAGAUUUCUUUGUUCCUUCUCCACUCCCAAUGCUUCACUUGAUCCUCCU
rnacentral:sRNA from 1 species